rnacentral:lncRNA from 1 species
UUGUCAUCUGCUUUUGAUAUAAAUGGAAGUGGCGAAAGUGCUCAGCUUAUUGUCCCCUUUGGAAUGAAGUAUUUGUAUUAUGAGAGACUGAGAUCUGCUACACUCAGUCAAGCUUCCGGCGAUGCCUUCGAAUAUAUACUCUGUGAUCUUCCUGAAGCCGUAACUAGAAAACUUAUGUUUUCAGGGUACAUACGAACAAGCUCAGAUAUUAUAUCCUGUUCGUAUGUACCAUGAAUCACAUUUGGGCAACAGGGCGCCGACCUAUAGGGGAACAGUGAGAGAUGCUUAUGGGAAUCAACUUGUUCAGUUCCCCUAUAAUAACGAGACAGAUCUUGGCCUUCCUGCUAAAUUUAUUUUCCGAGCUAUGAGAAUUCCUCAGAUCCGAAGACUGGGGUAGUGGGGUAGGUGAUAAUGAUGUAAAUGUAGAUGAUGAAGUAUCCGGG